rnacentral:rRNA from 1 species
AAUGAACGCUGGCGGCAUGCCUAACACAUGCAAGUCGAGCGGAUGAAGGGAGCUUGCUCCUGGAUUCAGCGGCGGACGGGUGAGUAAUGCCUAGGAAUCUGCCUUGUAGUGGGGGAUAACGUCCGGAAACGGGCGCUAAUCCCGCAUCCGACCUGAUGGAGAAAGUGGGGGAUCUUCGGACCUAACGGUUACAGAUGAGCCUACGUCGGAUUAGCUAGUUGGUGGGGUAAAGGCCUACAAAGGCGACGAUCCGUAACUGGUGUGAAAGGAUGACCAGCCAAACUGGAACGGGGACACGGUCCGGCAUACUAGGGGAGGCAGACGGGGGGAAUAUUGGAGGAUGGGAGAAGGCGUGAACAAGCGACGCCGCGUGAGUGAAGAAGGUCUCCGGAUUGUAAAGGUCUUUAAGUUGGGAGGAAGGUAAGUCAGUUAAACCCGUGAUGUUUUGACGUUACCAACAGAAAAAGGCCCGGCUAACUUCGUG